rfam:Xanthomonas campestris pv. campestris str. ATCC 33913, complete genome.
GGUCAAGCGAAUAAGCGCACACGGUGGAUGCCUAGGCGGUCAGAGGCGAUGAAGGACGUGGUAGCCUGCGAAAAGUGUCGGGGAGCUGGCAACAAGCUUUGAUCCGGCAAUAUCCGAAUGGGGAAACCCACUGCUUCGGCAGUAUCUUGCAGUGAAUUCAUAGCUGCUUGAAGCGAACCCGGUGAACUGAAAUAUCUAAGUAACCGGAGGAAAAGAAAUCAACCGAGAUUCCCUGAGUAGUGACGAGCGAACGGGGAACAGCCCUUAAGCUGGAAUGGCUUUAGAAAAACAAUCUGGAAAGAUUGGCCAUAGAAGGUGAUAGCCCUGUAUUUAAAAGGGCCACUCCAGUGAAGACGAGUAGGGCGGGGCACGUGAAACCCUGUCUGAAUAUGGGGGGACCAUCCUCCAAGGCUAAAUACUCCUGACCGACCGAUAGUGAACCAGUACCGUGAGGGAAAGGCGAAAAGAACCCCGGAGAGGGGAGUGAAAUAGAUCCUGAAACCGUGUGCGUACAAGCAGUAGGAGCUCGCAAGAGUGACUGCGUACCUUUUGUAUAAUGGGUCAGCGACUUACUGUUCGUGGCAAGCUUAACCGUAUAGGGGAGGCGAAGGGAAACCGAGUCUGAUAAGGGCGCAUAGUCGCGGGCAGUAGACCCGAAACCGGGUGAUCUAGUCAUGGCCAGGGUGAAGGUGCCGUAACAGGUACUGGAGGCCCGAACCCACGUCUGUUGCAAAAGACGGGGAUGAGCUGUGAUUAGGAGUGAAAAGCUAAUCGAACCCGGAGAUAGCUGGUUCUCCUCGAAAGCUAUUUAGGUAGCGCCUCGGACGAAUACUACUGGGGGUAGAGCACUGUUAUGGCUAGGGGGUCAUCGCGACUUACCAAACCAUUGCAAACUCCGAAUACCAGUACGUACUAUCCGGGAGACACACGGCGGGUGCUAACGUCCGUCGUGAAAAGGGAAACAACCCAGACCCACAGCUAAGGUCCCAAAUUCACUGCUAAGUGGAAAACGAUGUGGAAAGGCAUAGACAGCCAGGAGGUUGGCUUAGAAGCAGCCACCCUUUAAAGAAAGCGUAAUAGCUCACUGGUCGAGUCGGUCUGCGCGGAAGAUUUAACGGGGCUAAGCAGUGAACCGAAGCUUGGGGUGCGUAAAACUUCGGUUUUAUGCGCGGUAGAGGAGCGUUCCGUAAGCCUGCGAAGGUGGAUUGAGAAGUCUGCUGGAGGUAUCGGAAGUGCGAAUGCUGACAUGAGUAACGAUAAUGCGGGUGAAAAGCCCGCACGCCGAAAGCCCAAGGUUUCCUUGCGCAACGUUAAUCGACGCAGGGUUAGUCGGUCCCUAAGGCGAGGGCGAAAGCCGUAGUCGAUGGGAAGCAGGUUAAUAUUCCUGCACCUCGCGUGAGUGCGAUGGAGGGACGGAGAAGGUUAGGUGUACCGGGCGUUGGUUGUCCCGGGGAAAGGCGGUAGGUUUGGAUCUUUGGCAAAUCCGGGAUCCUUUAAGACCGAGCACCGAGACGAGCCUUUAUGGCGAAGUCACUGAUACCACGCUUCCAGGAAAAGCUCCUAAGCUUCAGCUCACGAAGACCGUACCGUAAACCGACACAGGUGGGUAGGAUGAGAAUUCUCAGGCGCUUGAGAGAACUCGGGUGAAGGAACUAGGCAACAUGGCACCGUAACUUCGGGAGAAGGUGCACCCUUUUUGGUGGCUCAUGCGAGCUAUAGCUGAAGAGGGUCGCAGAAACCAGGCCGCUGCGACUGUUUAUCAAAAACACAGCACUCUGCAAACACGAAAGUGGACGUAUAGGGUGUGACGCCUGCCCGGUGCUGGAAGGUUAAUUGAUGGGGUCAGCCGCAAGGCGAAGCUCUUGAUCGAAGCCCCAGUAAACGGCGGCCGUAACUAUAACGGUCCUAAGGUAGCGAAAUUCCUUGUCGGGUAAGUUCCGACCUGCACGAAUGGCGUAACGACAGCGGCGCUGUCUCCACCCGAGACUCAGUGAAAUUGAAAUCGCUGUGAAGAUGCAGCGUUCCCGUGGCAAGACGGAAAGACCCCGUGAACCUUUACUAUAGCUUUACACUGAACGUUGAGUUCGUCUGUGUAGGAUAGGUGGGAGGCUAUGAAACUGUGGCGCUAGCUGCAGUGGAGCCAACCUUGAAAUACCACCCUGUCGUGCUUGACGUUCUAACCUAGAUCCGUUAUCCGGAUCAGGGACCGUGUAUGGUGGGUAGUUUGACUGGGGCGGUCUCCUCCUAAAGAGUAACGGAGGAGCACGAAGGUACGCUCAGCGCGGUCGGACAUCGCGCACUGUGUGCAAAGGCAUAAGCGUGCUUGACUGCAAGAUCGACGGAUCAAGCAGGUACGAAAGUAGGUCUUAGUGAUCCGGUGGUUCUGUAUGGAAGGGCCAUCGCUCAACGGAUAAAAGGUACUCCGGGGAUAACAGGCUGAUACCGCCCAAGAGUUCAUAUCGACGGCGGUGUUUGGCACCUCGAUGUCGGCUCAUCACAUCCUGGGGCUGUAGUCGGUCCCAAGGGUAUGGCUGUUCGCCAUUUAAAGUGGUACGCGAGCUGGGUUCAGAACGUCGUGAGACAGUUCGGUCCCUAUCUGCCAUGGGCGUUGGAAGUUUGAGAGGGGCUGCUCCUAGUACGAGAGGACCGGAGUGGACGAACCUCUGGUGUUCCGGUUGUCACGCCAGUGGCAUUGCCGGGUAGCUAUGUUCGGAAGCGAUAACCGCUGAAAGCAUCUAAGCGGGAAGCGCGCCUCAAGAUGAGACUUCCCGGGGCACAAGCCCCCUAAAGGAACCAUAUAGACUAUGUGGUUGAUAGGUCAGGUGUGUAAGUACAGCAAUGUAUUGAGCUAACUGAUACUAAUGAUCCGUGCGGCUUGACCAU